rnacentral:lncRNA from 1 species
AUGACACGUGUGCCUUGUAUCCAGUAAUCUCGCAUGAACACAUAUGAUCCAUAUGUGUUCUCGUAUGAUCCUAGGAGAUUAUUUGAUAUGUGUCAUACGUGUCAUGAGAUUUUUCGAUAGGGACAUGAACUGUUUGAACCACACGAAUGCUUGCCGC